GAACGGCAGCGCGGGAGCAAUCCUGGCGGCGAGUGGCGAACGGGUGAGUAAUACAUCGGAACGUGCCCAAUCGUGGGGGAUAACGCAGCGAAAGCUGUGCUAAUACCGCAUAAGAUCUACGGAUGAAAGCAGGGGACCGCAAGGCCUUGCGCGACUGGAGCGGCCGAUGGCAGAUUAGGUAGUUGGUGAGGUAAAGGCUCACCAAGCCUUCGAUCUGUAGCUGGUCUGAGAGGACGACCAGCCACACUGGGACUGAGACACGGCCCAGACUCCUACGGGAGGCAGCAGUGGGGAAUUUUGGACAAUGGGCGCAAGCCUGAUCCAGCCAUGCCGCGUGCAGGAUGAAGGCCUUCGGGUUGUAAACUGCUUUUGUACGGAACGAAACGGUCCUUUCUAAUACAGGGGGCUAAUGACGGUACCGUAAGAAUAAGCACCGGCUAACUAUGUG
rnacentral:rRNA from 1 species